UUCUCCCAACAGAACUGGGCACAUUCCUGCUCUGGCAUCAGUGUGUCACAUCAGUAACUUAGUGAUGUAACAUCAUGUGAAGCUGGUUGUUCAGUGAGUUUAAUUGUCAAGUCAAAUGUAUAAAGAAAGGCUUUCUGAAAUGCACUUGUGUAUUUGCAAUGCAAUUAUUAACCUUGCUGAGCCUCAGUCUUGUAAUUUGUACAUUGGGAGCCCUCUGAAACUGAAGUGUGUCUUUAGGAUUACAGAUGAUGUAAGGAGUUUAAAUAUAGCCAGACUAACCAAGCACUCAGAAACAAACAGCUAAUAUAAUAGUUUGGGAUAAAAGCACAGAUGCCAAUUUUUCUUUUUAUGACCUCUCCUCUCCUUUAUCAAAUAUCUUCAAAUAUAUCUGAAAAUCGGUACACCAUAAAUUCUAUACAUCUUGGUUGAAGAAAAUUUCCAUCCCCAAAUUCUGAUCUCCAUAGUAUCCUGCCAAUGACCUAUGCAGCUCUUUGGGGAUCCUUAAAUAGAGAAAGAGGUAGGGAGUAAUUUUUAAUUUUGAAAAAAAUGAAAGUCUUAGAAAUGGUUAUAAAAUUUAUAGGGAAUGAAGAUAAAUUUAGAGAAAUGUUUCAAUGAAAACAUGAAAGCAGCCACCUCAGCACAAUGAUGAUGAAAGAAAGAAGGGAGGAAGGGACAAAGAAAACAGGAAGGGUAAAGAAAAGAAAGGAAAAAAUUGCAGGGUGUGGAAAAGAGAUUUUAGGACUUGGGAGACCUAUGAACCAAAGCGGAAGCAAAACACUCCCCAAAUGGUCAUGUCACUCGCUUUUCCCCAUGGGAUAUUGUUCCUGUAGUAAUAUAGAAACUAACCCCAAAGGGGGUCAGGUGUACAGGAGAACAAGACCUCUGUUUCCACAAUUUGUUCUUUAUUCCCAGGAGUUGAUCUGCAAAUAAAGCUUGUUUUAGAGUCCAUUGUUAUGAAAUUGUUUCAUCACCUGCCAAUUAUUAGGAAACAUCAAAAAUAUUUGGUGAUUUGAAAGAGCAGGCAGCAGACAAGCAGAGGCUCUGAGAGCCGUUCCAUCGCUGCAGACAUUACUAGACUAAUACUUUUUCUCUGCUCGUGUUCACGGAACCGAAAGUAAGCUGCAAGGUGGGCUGGUCUGUGUCCACAUCUGGCGUGCCCCCGCUGUCAAUUACUCCUCUCAGGCAAGCCAGUGACCUGCAGCAGAGUCAGGUACCACCAUCGUUAGCCAGUUGUGAUUGACUGCCUGUAAUGUGACAUGCCAAUCGCUUCCCACCUCUGUCUGUCAUGUGUUGCUGUAGACAACUUUCGCAUUUGCUUUUCUUCUCUGUGUGUAGGGGUUGAGGGGAUGAGUUGUGGCAGUCUGUGUUUUCAUCCAAAAAGGAGUCUUUCUUCCCUGUGAUUGGUGACCCUUUCUUUGCUGUCUGUUACCAAAUCGUUUUUUGUUGUGGUUUCCAUCAUUCUGUAAUAUAAAUGUAGUAAACUUGUAUUAAUAGUUCUGUGUAUCAGUUUACUAUUCCUGGCUUCUAUAAAAGCAGAUUUAUAUCAGUGUAAAGGAUGCAAACACAGGUCUAAGGCAUUUCAAAGCACCUGCCUAGUGACUUUGUCUUCAAACUCUGUGCUGGCCUACAGGAUCAAACGAAGUAUCUCUGAAGGCUGGUUGACCUAAGGCUCAUUGGUUUGCAACUAUAUGGUUUCUAAUAUUUAGUUCUUCCCAGAGAUAAAAUGAGGAAUUGCCUAGCAGGAAAAAAUGAAUAAGGCUCACAGAGGUGGAGAAAUAGCAAAAAAUCCCGAAUUAAAAUAAUUGAGAAUCAAGAGGCUAAAUGAGCUACUGUUGCUUUCUCCAGUUAGCUGUUCUAAUGGUUGUUGAUCAUGUACUCUAGUGUAUGGUGAUGGUCUUAGAGUGUUACAGCCGAAGGGAUAUGGUGACAUGAAGGGUAGAGAGCUCUACACACGAGGUCCUCACUUUUACAGAUGCUGCUGGAACCCAAAGAGUCUGAGUGAGUCUCAGUGAUAUGUGCCAGGAACCUCAGUAAGUUUGCAGAAGGACCACGUCUAGAACCCAAUGAUCACAUGUCUUGUAGUAGCUUAUUAUUUGAUAUUAGAGACUGAAAUAUGAAUUUGCUGUCCGUUUUGUUUCUACCAAGAAGAAACUCACUUUGGAUGAGUGCCUAUGAAAAUCAUUCAUUAACUUGGGGGUCUUUCCCCUUUGGUCAAUCAGGAGGAGCUGCCUUAUUGGCCAGCUGCUUGGAGCUAGAAUGUACUGAGGUCUGUGAGCAACGGGACCAGGACGGGCUGCAAGAACCCAGGACACCAUGGACUCUUGAGGUGGUUCCAGGAAGAUGAAUCAUUUGCACACUAAAUCCCAGUCGAGCCCCUGGGACAGUGGGUUCCUUUGCUGUAGGCAGGAGUUAGAGGCUCUCCUCCCUCUCCCUGUCCAGGAGGCGAGGCCGCGGCUUGUGGCCCCUGUAGGGGCGCGAGGAGCGGCCGAAGCGAAGCUGGUGCCCUGUGGCACGGAGGGAGGCUCUUGAGCGCGAGUGGCUGGGCUGCUUUCCGAGGCGCGGCUACGGCCGCCACGCUGACGGCUGAGGCCAUUCCGGUCCUGGCCGGAGAGGUGCUCUAUAUUUUGAAGAUCACUAUGCCCACAGGGUAGCAAUUAAAUCCAAAUUAAAGGAAGCAAAAGUAGUUAUUGAAGGAAGGAGUCCCUGUAGUCAUCAAUUCCAAAAUCUAUUCAAGUUUACAGUGAAAAGAAGGACAUUCCUCACUUUUCAUAGGCACUUGGGUUCUCCGCUGGUCUGGCUUUCCUCCCCAUUCCUUCAGUGACCAGGUUUAAUUUAUGGGAGCUCCAGCUUUGUCUUCAGAAAAAUCCUUUUAGGAAUAGUAGGGAUUUUUUGUGUGUGAUUUUGUAUGAACCUGAAAGCCGGUACUAUGGGUCAAAGAUAUAACCAAUAAUAACAGCAAAUUGACACUACUAAUACACAGUGCUUGAAAGUCUUUAUUUGUACUUAUAUGUUCUUCACAAUAACCAUUAAGAUAUUGUCAUUAUGUCCACUUUAUAGAAGUGAAAAUUGACACAUAAGAAGGUUAAGAAUUUACAUCAGAAUCACCCAUUUUGUCCACACAAAAUCACAUCUUAUGUGUUGUUCACAGAAUGCCACUUGAGCGGUGGUAUGGACAGGAAUCAACCUUAGGAAUCUGAUUCCAGAUUUUGCACUCUUUGCUCCAGGACUCUGGAAUCCAUGCUUUCCAUCAUUAUCACUUCUCAAAAUGUCCCCUUUAUCUAAAAUACUUUUCAAGGUCUCUUUCCAAGUACUGCAUCUCAUCUGCUCUCAAAUAAAUACUCUCUGCUCUCCCCAGUCCUAAAAAGCUGUUCAUUUGAAUCCACCACCUAUAUGUGGGCUGCCCCCCAUAUUGCCCUCAUUUCUUCAAUUUUCCCACUUGACCUGCUAUGUCCAACCUUUCCUCCUCCCCAACCCCAUCUCUUUCUCCCUCUUGACUCUCCCACCAAUACCUAAGUAGCUGCCUCUGUGAAAGAUGACCCGUGCCCUUCUGCUCACUAAAUUCAGAGGCUAUGUCCUUGAGUUAACUGCGAGCAGUAUCUGCCAUUACGUCCUCCUGGUCACUCUUGAUCCCUUUUCCCAGAGGUUAUACCAUCUCUCCUGGAUUUUUCUUCUUUCUAAUUUUAGUUUGUCUGUUUCCUUUUCCUUUCCCUCACUCUAGGUAUGUGGUGAUAUAUGCUCUCUCCUCUGUGCUGUGCAUUUCUCUCUGUAGUUUCACUUUCUCUGCAUGGUCUCCUCACUGGAUCUUCCCAAAAUCUACAUCUCCACAAGAUGUAACUAUAUCAGUUACAAAGCAGCCAAAUCUGAAUCUUCAGGUAAAGGCCUGAACGUCAUGUAUUUUUAAAGCUACUCAGGUGUUUAUAAUGCCCUGGCAGGGUAGAAUAACACUGACAAAGGUCUAUGUAUUGACAUUUUAAGUGAAUUUUAUUAAGAGAAAAGUAAUUACACAAUUUAUAGUGUAGCUACUGUUAUAGUCAAGUACUAGUAUUAACUAUUCUACUAGUACUAACCUAGCUACCAGUAGAACAUAGGUAGAACAAGUUUCUGUGGGAGGGGCAGCUCCUGCUUUCCAUGGUCCUCCCGAGCUGUGAGCCACAGCAUUCGUUAUUUCAGUUGCAGCAUUUCAGGAAAUGAAUUAUCUCACCAUCUGAUGAAAGGUGUCCCUCUUGUAUAUCAUGUUAUCAGAGACAGGGAAAAUCAUCUGUUUACUUGAUUUCCAUAGACAGACUCUCCGAAUGUAUGCUUUCCUUAAAAUUAGGGGAGAUGCCUAUGCUUUGUAAUGCCCAACAGGAACAAUUACAAAGAUAAUGUUAUGUAAAACAUCUCAUAAAAUAUCUUCCACCCACCCUAGAAUCAUGUCUCACUGUUCUCUAAAGACUUUUCUUUUAUUUCUUCUGGGAACCUCCUUCCUUUGGCUUCCUCCAAAUACCAUCCUUCCCAUUUUAUUUUCCUGGGCUAUUUAGCUCUGAAGUCUCUUCACAACUACAAGCCUGACUUUGCAAACCAAAGGAUUCCACUAUGCUCUGCCAUCUAGCUUUCCAUCUUUUAGUCAAAAAAAAAAAAAAAAAACCCCAAAAACCAGAAGGAAAAAAAAAUGGAAAGGCUUAGACAUUUUCAUAUUCUCCCACCUGUGCCUACAGGAAAUACACUUAUAUUGUCCAGUGAUAUAAAUCAUGCGAUGUGCUUUAGGAUAUAAAAGGAGUCACAAUAAAAUUUGGUUUAAAAUAGCAAUUUUUCUCUGAGAGAUUUGCUUUUAUGGAUGGGUAUAAAAAAUGUUAAUAACAAUGUUUAUCUCUAGGUAAAGUAUGGAUUUGUAUGCUGUAUUACUUAGAAGAUAAAGUUCACUUAUCUUCUAAAUAUUUUAUUGUAUGUUAUAUAUAAAUCACAUAAAUUUGUAUAAAAUAUUUUAUAAAUAUGCAUUUAUAUAUAUAUAUAUCAUAUAUGUGAAUUAUAUUAUAUAUACAUUUUAUAACCAGAAAAGGCAUGAGUACAGAAAACAUUCUAGUCUCUUCUGUCACCUGCCGUUCAGUUAUUUCAAAAUUAUUACAAAAUACUUCCAAUAGACUGAUCAGAAUUCAUAAAUACUCCCUGACCUCUUACACCAACUUCCUUUCCCAUUACUUCAUGUAAUCUCCUUUCAUUUUUGACUUAGAUCUCACCUUCAUUUUCUUUCAUUCGUGCAUCUAUCCAUUCACCCAUUCAACAAAGAUUUAUUGGACCUCAUUGCAAGAGAUACCAUGCUUGGUGCUGUGUAGCCAGUCUAUAAAAUCUUCAUUUUUUCCUUUUUAAAUUAUUUUCUUCUUAAAAAGAGUCUGUGUUCAAAUUCCAGCUCCCCCUCUUUCUAGUGGUGGAAUCUUGUACAAGUUACUUAACUUCUCUGUAAGAUAUUAAUAAUAAUUUGAGCAAGAAAACUUCUUUAAAAAUACAUAUUUCAGCAUAGAACUUUCAAAAGUAUAGUCUAUGGAGACAUAUUUUAAAAAGAAAUAUAUUAGGAGAGGAAAAAGAGUCUAUGAUGCCAUAUAAGCUUUAGCACAAACUCUGAGGAUUGAGGAACAAGUGGGAGAAUUUCAUUGAUGUUGUGUUGACUGGCAACAUUCCCUAAAGUAUAGACAAAAGAGAAGUUGUGGUAACUAGGUAACUACACAUUGUGGUGAGCGUUUAGUAAUGUAUAUAAUUAUCAAAUCAGUAUGUUGCACACCUGAAACCAAUAAAAUAUAUUAACUCUGCUUCAAUUUUUAAAAGUCCUAUAAGGAAGGUUUUUUGCUGGAACAUGGUAAGAAAAGCUUGUUUCAGCUCUGAAGUAGAUGCUAAUAGAUGCCUGGCAAUCAGUCUUUAGAAAAUUCCUAUUACUGUGUUACCCAAAGUUUUUUUGUUUUCUUCCCUCAACCAAUUUCAGGGUUCUCUUCCUUGAGAAAAAUAUAAACAGAGGAUUGAAGGUGGAUAAUGAUCUUUUCUAAAAACUCACAUCCAUCAAAAGAAUCUUAAAAGCUAAAGAUGGCGAAUAGACAUUUUCCCAUGUGUAGGGUUUCCCAGCACUCUAUUCAGACACCUCCAGCCACGUGGUAUGCCUGUUAUCUAGGCUGGGAAUUGAGAUUUCUAGAACUCAUUGUCCUCAUCACAGAGAAACACAUGUGCCCUUCAAUAUCCAGAGGCUGAGGAGCUUUUCUAGUGUAAAAUUUUAUCACUAUUGUGCCGGAGUCCAGCUCUAGCUGAGGUGUGGGUCACGAAGGAAAGGACAGUGUCGGUGAGUGAGGAGACGAAACACCCAUUUAAGGUUGUAGCAUCUCCUGACAUCAAGCGGCAGGGUCUUUAUUUUUAUAUCUUUUUAAGGUUUACAUAAUGUUAAACGUUUUUCUUUAAUCAUGAAUAAUACAAUCCUUUUUCUGUCAGUUUACAUAAUUCCAGCUUAUUACCCUUAAGUAAGGAUCAUCAUUUCUUCUAAUAGUAGCCAUUUAACAUUUAAUUUUUAACUUUCCCCUAGUCUAUUGUGAUUACUAAUUUAUGUAAGCUACGUGCUAAGUACUAAACAGAAAAUGGCAUGAGACAGUGUUUGGGCUAAGCAUGUGGGCUAUGAUUUUUACUUAUAAGCAUGUAAAAUUAUAUAGAGUUUAAGAUAUGUGUCUAAGGCUAUAUAAAGUUUAAGCAGGUUAUAUAAAUGCAAGCUGUAUGUCUUUUGGUUAUUAAGUGUAAUGCUAUAUUAUUAAUUAAAUUCUAUCUUACACAUGUGGGUUAAGGCUUACAUCUAAAGUCUAGGGAUGGUACUCUUAUCACAUAAGUUUUAACAUUCCUCAACAUUCCUAUGAAUACAAUAAAAACACCUUAUUCUUUCAUAAUAUUCAUUCCACAAUUUCAGAUGUUCACACCUUUCCUCCUGCAUCCACAGGCACUAGGGCCUUGCAGUCCUCUUUAUCUUUUAUAUAAUAACACUAAAUCUGCUCUUACUACCUUACCAUUAAUAUAAUAAUAUUUUAUCAUAAAUUUAUUAUAAACUUCUAUAUAUGGGAUAAUUAUAAAUGUAAAUCUUCCUAUUUUGCUCAUAAAUUCUUUCUAUGAGGGGGGUACCAAAGGUGUCUUCUAAUAUUAUAAAGCAAAAUAAAGGGGGCCCUGGGCAGUGGGGACUAUCUUUAUUACUUUGCUGUUUCAUAUAAGUUUUUUGGGAAAAUGGGUUUUUCUAUGGCCCAGGUUCCCAUAACUUCUUCUCUGACAAUAUUCUAAAUAAUUCCUGGUUAGUCAUGUUUCAGUUCUUACAAAGGGGAGGACAAACUGCUUCUAGUUUUAAGAGAGGCCUGGGUUGUCCUGCCUCACUUAUUUGUGGCAGUAUGCCUGGAACAGUUGGUCCCAUAACAUAGUUUUUGUUUCCGGAAUUGCUGCUUUGAUCAAUAUUUUGGGUUAUGUUAUUUACUAAAGAUGAAUAAAUCUUAAAUACAAAAGAUUUCCCUUAUAUGAGCCCAACCACCAACAUCAUAAUUGCAAAAAUAAGUGCAGGAAUUAGCAGGGGCCAGCUAUGAGGUUUCCUGUUUUCAGGAUUCCUCCUCGUACCUGAACCUUGUCAAACAGCAUGAGCAGCAUGGCCCACACUGCCAGUGUGUUUCACAGAUCAUCUCACGGUCUGAUGAAGAAUAGUGGUUUUUAAUCCAAUUAGAAAACUGCUCUUACAUUGAAGGGAGUGCUUCAAUAGAAAUAAGCAAAUCAUACUUUUGUGCAAAUUAGAUAUAAAUUCAGCCCACUUUUCAUACUAGCACUCUAGUAAUUCUAUGCAAAUGAUCUGUUCACAGGAUAUUUUCGCUUGGCACUAACAGCCAGUAAAAACAAGAGGUGUUCCAAUAAAUAUUUGUUAACCUAAUUUGCUCUCACCCCACAAUGGAAGAAAGAACUGCUCUUAGAGUGUUUGAUUUUUGCAUCUAGCUUGUUUUCAUAUGAGGCCACUUGCUGCCAUAGUGGCCGCUAUUGAUCUACUGAUCCUUGGUUCCUCACCCAACGGAACUUAUCUCCACAUGUAGAUGGACCCAAUCACUUCUGAUAUGUUUCUACAUGUACUAUUACAGCUUUAAAAUAUUUUAAUAAAAUUUUAGCAUUGGAAGUUUAAUUUAAAAAAGACUUAUUGUUUCUUGAACACACAUUCAGUAAAUAGAAGAGAGUAAGAUAAAAAAGGGACAGGAGGAAAUAGCAGUGCAUCUGAAAAAUCUAAGGCAACUUCCAUCACUUUACCCACCAAAACAUCUACAUAUCGAUCCCUAGCCCUCCCUCACUGCCUCCCUCCUCCUUCCUCUCUCUCUCUCUCUCUCUCUCACUCACACACACACACACACACACACACACUUUUCCAGUGGUCUCCACCACUAUUUUUUGUAAUCUCAUACACUCUUGAAUGACACAGCCUUAGUAAAAUCAGUCUUCUAAAAACCAUAUCACACUUUUGUUUAAUAAAAGCCUAAUUAAUAGAAAACCAAGUUUCCAGACAAUUUUGAGGGGCUGCAAUGCUCCAUAGUUACUUUACAUGCCCUUAACUCAGUAUCUUAGGUACAUUUACAACCAUAUCAGGAAACGUGGAGCAAAGAAAAAAAUUAACCCUACUUCCCUUGAUCAUGUUUCCUGUUCGGAAGCCCUCUUAGAACUUCUUAAACAUCCGUGGACAUGACAUCACUCCCCAAAGAAUACUUUUUCAUAUCAAGUCAAGACCACCUCAUGAGUGUUGGGUAAAGAAGGAUACUAAGCAAAGGACAUGAAAACACCUGUUACUGGAGCACAUGGGCUCAAUACAUAGUUUAUUUGAGGUUAUUGAUAUGCACAUCAUCCUCUUGGAUAUCAGUGUGAUUAUGAAAUCCCAGUCUUGCUACCAUGCCUAAAAGAAACUUUAAACUGGAUGGAUACAACAAGUUUUCUGAAACUCCAGGAUUGCCUGAAAAUAUAUUUUAUUGAUUCUACUUUGCUUCCAAAUAAAGCAUAACAAGCAGAAAAUAAAAUGAUGUGGAGAGAAAAACAUAGGUCACUGUUUACUUCUAGGGUUGUUCUAUGAACUGUGCUUUCAAAAGCCCUGACCUGGAAGUGAGGCCUCAAGGCCUUUUUUUUCAGCUCUGUCCAUCCAGCCCUCUUUUUGGCUCGAUGAACUCAUAGGUCCGUCAUGGCGCCUUUGCCAGUGUUUCUGUGACUUUCAGUCUCUUUUGUCCUUUCAGCCUCUUAGUUAUUCUAUGCUAAUACACUCGUCAACCCUUAUUUAAAAAGUCAUUCAGUUUUAUUUUUGCAAGUUCAAAACCCAUCUUCCUGAUUGGUGGAAAAAAAAAGUCUUCUUGAGUCUGAGGAGCAUAUGAUGUAGUAAAUGCUUUAGAUGUUUUGUUUAUUUCAAGAAAAUAUGGAUUGACAACAAACAAUGUUAAGGACUUCUGCCCUUAUUAUAACCAAGAGGGUCACAUCAUCUCUCUGCAUGCAGCGACUAUCAUUGUAUCUUCUGUAUUAGAAAGAAAAGGAAAGUCCAACUUUCACCCCAGUGUGAACAUGAGCAAGGAACUCUACAAGGUCUCUCACAUUCUUAACUGUCAGCAGCAUAGGUCAUGGCCUAUUAAAUGUUAAUGCAAAAUUAAGUAUUUUCCCAGGUGAUCUUGUUUCCAAAUCCUCCAUCCAAUAUGAAAUAAACGUGACAUGACAUCCUUUUUAAGUGAUCCAAAUCAUACCAGACCUCAGAAGAAACGAAUCACAGACACUUAAUAGUUAUGCAGCUAUUGCUUUCAUUUAUGUAUUUGUUAAGCUAUUUAAAAAAUGCAUCUGCAGUGAGAUUGCUUUAUGUUCACAGAAUAGAUUAUGUAUUAAGAAUUAGGGCUUUUUCUUCUGAAGGUAGGAACAAAGGUCAACAAUUUAAUUACAAAGCCCUUGCCUAGGCUAUGGUAUUGCAGUGUAGGUCAUUUUUCAGUGAGGAAAAGGCAGUUCUAAAGAACUGUUUCUCUUGACUCUAUUUCAGUGCUGGAGAGUCAAAUAUCUCUUGUGUGAUAAUAAAACAAAUGUUUACAAAUUCCCUUAAGGAAAAGCAAUGAUUUCUCUUAUUAAAAUUACCAUUUUUGGGGAUUAUCAUGACUCGAGUAUUGGACAGCUACUCACAGCCAAGAGCCUACUCCUCUUGUACAUCACUUUUAUUGCUCUGCAUACAUGUUUUUCCUGAAAUAGAAAAAAAGUGAAAACUGAUUUUGAGUCAGCUCAAAAUUCAGUCAAGCUGAGAAUCAGCUGAGAAAUGCUGUCAGUUAAGCCAGCAGACAACAGCCACAACGACAAGGGCUCACGCUGCUGGGCUGCAUAAUGUCCAGCCUGGGGGAGAGCAGAGGUCAGAAAGUUCUUUGUCUUUGGCUCCCCUCACAGCUGUUCCCAUCUUGGCCACUAGGAGGAGCUAGUGAAAA